GUGCAUUCUCAAGAGCACAGUGGCCUCCUUAAUUAUUAAAGGUAAGAAGUUUGGAACAACCAAACUCUUCUUAGAGCGGCCACAUGGCCAAACUGAGCAGUCAGGAGAGAGGGCCUUGGUAAGAGAAGUGACCAAGAGCCUGAUGGUCACUCUAAGUUAACUCAAGAGAUCAUGUGUAAAGAUGGGCAAAACUUAUGGACGGUCAACCAUCACAAUUACACUUGGCUGAUCUAGCUAUGGCAGACUGGGCAGACGGAAUCUACCUCACUGCAAGACA